AAACAAAAUUCCCAGCUAUGAAAGGAGAGAAAAUAAUCUGCCUUUGGGACUCUCUCAAAGGUCUAGCCUUCUGUUGCGUUUUAGACAGAUUGGCAUGACCAACUUAUUCUCCAUCUGAAGUCACCUUAGUGUGUAUGUGAAAUCUGUCUCUACCAUGACUUUGGGAGACUGUAGAGGCCAAAUACUAAAAAGAUAACAAUGGUAGAGUGGUAGCAAAUCAAGAAAUGGCAAUCUUCAAGCAGAAGUUAGCUAACCAUAUGUAUCCCUGAAUGCUGUAGAAUGAGUAGAGAUCUUUAUUGAUCUCUUAGGUAUCUUCCAAGCAUAAACACUGAUUUUAAUUCCUUCAAAGUAACACGUGGAACGCCAAAAAAAAAAAAAGUCAGAUUGACUUUCUAAAUGAGGUGAGGGGAAGGUGAGUGCAAACGUUUCUUAAAAGUUUUUUUUGUCUUGACACAUAUUCUGUUUUACCCAUCUGUAAGGCAGGGUAGGCGGUUCCAAUGCACAUUUUAUGAAUUUGAACUUGAAAUGACUCUAGUUUUAAAAUAAUAAUGGUAAUGUGUUAAAAGGGUGACAAGAACUCCAGUGGCAAAGUUGAAAGUCUGCACACUGACAGGCUAAUUAAUAUAAAUAGUAAUUACCAUAGCCAAUCCACAUUAGAGACUGGAUUUUAUUUGGCUAAGUAUGCACUAAGUGUGUUAAAAAUAAAGUUAUUAUACACUGCAGUGAAUACUAGUAUUACCGACAGACCAGGAACCCUGAAAAUCAGAUACUUUCACAAAGGGAGGCAGAAGAAAAGACUACAGCCUCAGCCUUGGGAAUGAUCCUUCCAGUGGAGACUCAGUAACCUCCCCAGCACAUAUACAAAUGUGUGUAUAUCUUCCUAUUUUAAAAAGCAAUAUAAUUGUGAUCUACCACCACUGUUCAAGCUAAUUUACUUCCUAAUGGUUUAUUUGCAUAGUGAAAUUUGCAUUUUAUUUUAUAGCAAAUGUUAUUAUUACUCCACCUGCCCUCUCUUAGAUGGAACACCAAAACUAAGAGCGAAAAUAGAAACAAUUUAAGAAGAG
rnacentral:lncRNA from 10 species